GACGAACGCUGGCGGCGUGCUUAACACAUGCAAGUCGAGCGGUAAGGCCCUUUCGGGGGUACGACGAGCGGCGGACGGGUGAGUAACACGUGGGUGACCUGCCCUCCAGCUCUGGGAGUAAGCCUGGGAAACCGGGUCUAAUACUGGAUAUGACUCCAUGACGCAUGUUGUGGGGUGGAAAGCCUUGUGCGGCUGAGGAUGGGCCCGCGGCCUAUCAGCUUGUUGGUGGGGUGANGGCCUACCAAGGCGACGACGGGUAGCCGGCCUGAGAGGGCGACCGGCCACACUGGGACUGAGACACGGCCCAGACUCCUACGGGAGGCAGCAGUGGGGAAUCUUGCGCAAUGGGCGAAAGCCUGACGCAGCGACGCCGCGUGAGGGAUGACGGCCU
rnacentral:rRNA from 1 species